AUGGACCAAUCCAUCCCUUUUUCCCGUGCAUAUGCAUCGGACUCGGAUGACGAUGGUCCCGAUGAAGAAGUUGAUGAGGAGGGGUUCACGCCGAAGGAGGCCCAAGCAUUCAAGAAGGUAUUCGGGCGGGAUCACAAGACACCAUUGUUCAAGGAUCUUAGUCUCGCGGAUGAAGCUGUUGUGGAUGGUGGCAAAUGCAUAUCUCUUGGAGCUAGGCCAAGUUCUCACCGUGAUUUGGAAGACGGCAAGAACGGGAUAUAUCCCUGUUGUGAGUUUCAAUCCUUCUUGGAAUUGAAGAUGUGGCUCGACAACUACUCGGUUACGCAUUAUCGUCCACAUAAAGUGGCCAACUCGGACGUCAAUGUGCGUUACACGGUCAAAUGUGAAGUGCCAAGUUGUCAAUGGAUUGUGCGUGCAAGGCCAUGGAAAGGAGGUCCCACUUGGCGCAUAGUGAGUUGUCUACCAAAUCACAUGUGCCGGCACAAGAAUGCGGAUGGCAAGCUUGUGUACCAAUAA
rnacentral:rRNA from 1 species